rnacentral:rRNA from 1 species
CGAGAAGCGAACCUGCGAAGGCAAGCGGAUCUCUUAAAGCCGUUCUCAGUUCGGACUGUAGGCUGCAACUCGCCUACACGAAGCUGGAAUCGCUAGUAAUCGCGGAUCAGCAUGCCGCGGUGAAUACGUUCCCGGGCCUUGUACACACCGCCCGUCACACCAUGGGAGCCGGUAAUACCCGAAGUCAGUAGUCCAACCACGUGAGGACGCUGCCGAAGGUAGGAUUGGCGACUGGGGUGAAGUCGUAACAAGGUAUC